UACGUAGGGUGCGAGCGUUGUCCGGAAUUAUUGGGCGUAAAGAGCUUGUAGGUGGCUCGUCGCGUCGGGAGUGAAAACCCGGGGCUCAACCCCGGGCCUGCAGUCGAUACGGGCAGACUAGAGUGCGGUAGGGGAGACUGGAAUUCCUGGUGUAGCGGUGAAAUGCGCAGAUAUCAGGAGGAACACCGGUGGCGAAGGCGGGUCUCUGGGCCGUAACUGACGCUGAGGAGCGAAAGCGUGGGGAGCGAACAGG
rnacentral:rRNA from 1 species